rnacentral:snRNA from 1 species
CUUCUCAGUCUUUUGUCUAAAAUCAAGUGUAGUAUCUGUUCUCAUCAGCUUAAUA